CACGCGGCCGCCGGACGUCGUGACCUCGCGGAUGCCCGGCGGUCGCCGUGACAACCUGAGGAGAGGCAACAGUGGCCGGGGCGAGGAGCGGUUGAGGCUGGCGGCCGCGAAAGGCCGCCUCCGCCCGGCCAAGCUCUCGGUGGGCAGUCAGGCCUCCGCUGUUGGCUCGGGCCGGCCCCCGCGCAGGGACUAUGAGAAAAUGGUCGUGCAGACGAGGAACAAGCACAAGGAGCUGCCGUCCAAGGGGGUCCAGUCCCCUCGCGGCCCUCUCCGGGGCCGCCGGGGCCCGGACCACAGAGAGCGGGGGCCCCUGACGGAGGAGAGGGGCGCCAAAGCGUCACGGCCCUCGACGCCCGGGCCCACGCACCUGUCGGGGAGCAGCGGCGGCGGCCACCACAAGGGGGCCCGCGUGUCUCCUCUGCGCCGGCUGCUGAUGGCCAGCGUGCGGCGCCUGCUGUGCCUGGUGCUGGAGAAGCUGCCGAUGCUGCAGCACUACCAGAGCUACUCGUGGAACCUGACGCUGGCCCUAGGUGCCUUUGUGGGAAUUUUACACUGGGCUCAUUUAACAACUCUUUUUGAAAAUGAUCGCCAUUUUUCCCACCUCUCAACCUUGGAAAGGGAGAUGACUUUUCGCACUGAAAUGGGACUUUACUAUUCCUACUUCAAGACCAUGAUAGAAGCACCUUCAUUUUUGAGAGGACUAUGGAUGACUAUGAAUGAUAGACUUACUGAAUUUCCUCUUGUAAUUAAUGCAGUGAAACGUUUUCAUCUUUAUCCAGAGGUAAUCCUAGCCUUCUGGUACCGCCUGUACACUGGAACAAUGGACCUCAUUGGCAUUCAAACAAAGGUGUGCUGGAAUGUUUCCAGAGGACAAGGGCUUAAUCCAGUCGAAAGCUGUGAAGGACUGGGAGAUCCUGCUUGCUUUUAUAUUACUGUGAUUUUUGUUUUAAAUGGACUAAUGAUGACAUUAUUCUUCAUAUAUGGCACAUACCUAAGUGGGAGUCAAGUUGGAGGUCUAAUUACAGUACUGUGCUAUUUUUUCAACCAUGGAGAGUCUACACGUGUGAUGUGGACUCCACCUCUCCGAGAAAGUUUCUCUUACCCAUUUCAUGUACUUCAGAUGCUGAUUAUAACUCAUGUUCUCAGGUCUCGACAGAAUUGUAAGAAAGACUUUAUUGCACUCAUUGUGUCUAAUGUCGCUUUCAUGCUUCCUUGGCAGUUUGCUCAGUUUAUUCUUUUUACACAGAUGGCUUCAUUAUUUCCUAUGUAUGUUGUGGGGUAUAUUGAGCCAUACAAAUUUCUGAAGAUCAUUGCUGUGAAUAUGGUUUCUAUUGCAAUCUGUUUUAUUUUAAUGUUUGGAAAUCGCACAUAUUUGUCAUCUUAUUUUGCCUCCUCUUUGAUAAUAACAUGGGCUAUCAUGAAAAAAAGAAAUAAAAUCCAAAAAUUGCAGUCAUCUGAGUGUACUUUUUGGAUAAUUCAGUGUUUUCUUUGGUGGAGUGGAACAAUCAUUUUGAAAGUGACAUUAUCUCAACUCUUUGCCGUUUCAGAUCAUAUUCAACUUAGUGACCUCAUAACUGCCAGAAUUUUAAGAUACACAGACUUUGAUACUUUAAUGUAUACUUGUGCUCCUGAAUUUGACUUUAUGGAAAAAGAGACUCCACUGAGGUACACAAAGACAUUAUUGCUUCCAGUUGUUGCUUUGAUUUCUUAUUUAAUCUUUAGAAAGGUGAUUCCUGAUAUUUUAUAUAUGUUAUCUACAGGGGAAACUUUUAGCAGAAAACAACUUCAGCAGGAUGAGUCAAAGAAUCCACCCACAAUUCUGCUUGUUUUUCAUGAAUUGCAGCUAUUUGCGUUUGCCAUUCUUGCCGUUUUCAUUAUGAGACUGAAGUUAUUUUUGACACCUCACAUGAGCGUUAUGGCUUCCUUGAUCUGCUCUAAACGGCUCUUUGGACGGUUCUUUGACAGAAUUCGUUUUGGGAAUUUUGUUUUAGCCCUUCUAAUGGUAAUGUCAAUUCAAGGUUGGUUAAACCUUCAGAGCCAAUGGAGCAUAAUAGGAGAAUUCAGUAAUGCACCACAGGAGGAGCUUCUUCAGUGGAUCAGGCAGAACACCAGGCCAGAUGCUGUUUUUGCAGGUGCCAUGCCUACUAUGGCAAGUGUCAAGCUAUCUACACUUCGCCCUAUUGUCAAUCACCCACAUUAUGAGGAUGGAGGAUUGAGGCCUGGUUGCAGUAUGCUUGAAAUCUGGGAUGUGGAAGACCCUAUGAAUGCUGCCAAGCCUUCUCUGUGCAGUAUCCUCGUUAAGGAUGGUCGACCUUACUUCACCUCCAUGUUCCAAAACAGCAUGUACAGAGUCUUCAAAGUGAACUAGGAGUGCGUGGCUUCAUCAGGUGCACAAUGGGUGGAGGGUCCAAAAUGAUCGUUGGUCUGUUCCCUGACAGUAGUAUUGUUCCAAAGAAAAUCAUAAGAUGUUAUUGGAAGUGUCUUUAAGGGAAAAAAAAAAAAAACAUUUUUAUUCAAUCAUUUAAUUCAUUCUGAUUAAAAGUAAAAUAUUCAUUUUUCACAUUGCAGAGUCAGCCUUUGUUAGGUAAAAACUAAUUUGUGGCAAAAACUUGUUAUGCGAGUGGUGGUUAUGUGUUCACGUGCUACUUUAACAAACAUUCAUCUUAAAAUUUUCAAGGAUGCCAAGAAGAAUAAAGACAAUAUAAAUCUAAAAUGUAAGUUCUUUUUUGACCAAAUAAAUUACUUUGGAUUUUCUUAAAUAAAGAAUAAAGGUUUUUUUUGCUUCAUUACAGAUUCUAGGGAAUCGUACAACAUUACUGCACAAUGUUAUUUGACAUUUCCAUGUUGAUUAACUGCUGAUACUGAUCAUACGUGGGAUACCUCUGUGAGGAACUUAAUUUUUGUAACCACAUUUCUGUGAAGUUUGGUUUUCCUUUUUAAAGUAACCAAGAAGAAUCUUAAAAGAGAUUUGAAUAACUUUUUAUCUUUUUGGGUUAGUUUUUAAAACACUUUUAUUCAUACUAGAGUGAAUCUCUUUAAACAUCUGUAAAUAGUUAUCGAUGCUAAUUCGAAGAGUUUAUAGCCUAUAGUGGAAAACAUGCUUUUAAUUAGUGUUUUUUUCCCAUGAAUACCCAAGUAGACUUGAAACAUGACUAAAUUCAGUUGGGGAUAGGGAAGUACAAAUUAUCAGAAAAGGAAAAAAAGAGUCAACAGAAUUCAUUAAAUGAUCUUUUCUAUUUGCUUAAAUUUCUGGAUUUUGGACAUGGCAAAAGGGUGAUCAUUUUCCUAAGACUAUCUUGUUAUACAUCAUAUUUUUUUCUUUUUUAUUUCAUACUGUACAUUUGUAUUUGGUUUCCAAUGAAAACACAGUUUCUCUAAAUCUUUCCUUGCCUCCCCCAACAAAAACCAAAAAUGUCCUGUUUUAAGCUGCUUUUAGGCUUUUAAGUCAUAACAUUGUUACAUACUAAUUUUCUCUUUUUACUCCCUUCAGCUGCUUGUUAUGCACUGUCUGUAAUAUUUUGAUACAUAUAUCUCUUCUCAUUCUUGUUUAUUUUUCUGUUUUAAUAAUUAGUUACUGUUCUUGGCCCAAAAUAAUUUCAUAGAUGAAUUCAAUAUCAGAGCAGAAGAAUAAAGGAAAUAUCCUUUGAUAUUUAUUAAACUAGGUCAGAAGAACUUAAAAGGUAAAGAAAAAAUUUUGAGAUAUCAUUAAAAUUAGGAAAGAAUGAAAGGAUGUAUUUGUAAGCCUAACAACAUAAGAUGCUGUUUCUGUGUGAAAUUAUAUGAAAUUUGCUUUAGUUAUUUUAUGCUAUAUAUAUGGAAUAAAAAGAAAAUCUGAAGUUUUAAUGUUGUCCCCAUUCUUUUCCUUUCCCUUUGACUAAUGGGGCAGGGCUAUAAGGAAAUAUUCAGGGUGUGACAGGGUUGAGCAAGGAUUUUGAAGGAUGGGGAGACUUCAGCAUGUUUUAAGACCAUAGAAAAGGAAUCAGUUGAUAGGGAGAGAUUUGAGAUUGUAGGUGGGAGGCAAACUGUAGUUUAGUAUCAGCUUUUGUUCAUCAGCUAAAGGAAUUGAGAGAAGUUACUUUCCUACUGUAAUCUGUCUAUUGAUAUCUUAUGUAUUCUUUAGUGACUAAGUAAAAAGUCUCCUCUUCUAUGAAGAAUUUAGAGCAUUUUCUAAGUGGUAGAGGACCAGGAUUAUGGGAAUAUUGCACUCAUUGUUGGACACGAUUGAUGUGUUGAUUGGUUUUAAGGGGAUGGGAAUGAAUGAUUGCAGAUGCUGAAGGUGGGAGGGAUUAGGAGCCAGUGGCAUCUGUGGUGGAGUCCCCCUGGCAAGGAAAAGACUGAUUGUCAGAGACUGAUGAAGAUGCGAGAGAGUGCGACAUGAUCUUUAGAGAUCGAAUGACAAGAAGAGGGAGCCCGGAUUGAAUGAUCUCAAUUUUUUGUAAAGGUGAGAGAUGUCUUAAGGGGACUGCAAAAGCUCAGGAAGCAAGCCACCAGACACCAGGAUAUGGAUCCCCCACUGGGACAUGGAGAAGCCGGGUCCCAAGGCACCUGUUGCCCCAGCCUAGGACCAGAUGGGACCUCACUCAGCCAGCAGCCAUGUAGCACUGGCGUGUCCUGUUGGUGGAAAACUUAGAAAAUGCAUUAAGGAAAGUCCAUUAUUUCCUGGACUUUAUUUAGUGUAAGAGUGGCAUAAUGUUAAUAAUCAUUUUGAAGUGAGGAGAAACACCCAAAGUAUAAAACUUUUAUUGAAAAGUUUGAAGUGUUUAUUUGCAAAUUGUGAGUGCCAUCUGCUGGUCACCUCACAUGAAGACAUUUUCUACUGUAGAACUCUUACAAACGGGCAAUAAGGGCUGACGUUUUGCACCUAUUCAAUAAAUAACUAACUGUAAAUCUAGAGCUCUAGGGAAGGCGACUGAAUAUUUUAUGGGACACUCAAGUUUGUCCUGGUGAUGAAAAUAAUUUGAGUUCAGAAACGUGGAGUUGUGAUUGGUAGGUGAUGAUGUUUUUGAUCCGGUGUAGACAGUAAAGUACAAAGCAGUAAAUCACUUCCUGUGUAGCUGCAGUCUGAAUUACCCUGAAAAAUGAGGCAAUACUUAAAAAAAAGCUUUUUGCAUGCACACUAGUAGCAUUGCUCGGUUAGUGUUGAUUCUCUGACAUCGGCUGUAGAAAUAGAUGCCUGUUGAGUUGUACUUGAUUCUUUGACUCAUAAGCUUGAGAGCUGCGGUGAGCCUCUGAGAUCCCUUUUUACAGGGAAAGGAAAAUGAGCAAGACCCAGAGAAGUGAAGCAUCUUAGUUAAGGACACACAAUACG